rnacentral:rRNA from 1 species
UACGUAGGGGGCAAGCGUUGUCCGGAAUCAUUGGGCGUAAAGCGCGUGUAGGCGGCCCGAUAAGUCCGCUGUGAAAGUCCAGGGCUCAACCCUGGGAUGCCGGUGGAUACUGUCGGGCUCGAGUCCGGAAGAGGAGUGUGGAAUUCCGUGGUGUAGCGGUGAAAUGCGCAGAGUAUCAGGAGGAACACCAAUGGCGAAGGCAGCAGCUCUGGGACGUCGACUGACGCUGAGACGCGAAAGCGUGGGGAGCAAACAGG